UGCCAGACUCCUACGGGAGGCAGCAGUGGGGAAUAUUGCACAAUGGGGGAAACCCUGAUGCAGCAACGCCGCGUGAGUGAAGAAGUCAUUCGUGAUGUAAAGCUCUAUCAGCAGGGAAGAAAAUGACGGUACCUGAGUAAGAAGCCCCGGCUAACUACGUGCCAGCAGCCGCGGUAAUACGUAGGUGGCAAGCGUUAUCCGGAUUUACUGGGUGUAAAGGGCGUGUAGGCGGGACUGCAAGUCAGAUGUGAAAACCACGGGCUCAACCGGUGGCCUGCAUUUGAAACUGUAGUUCUUGAGUACUGGAGAGGCAGACGGAAUUCCUAGUGUAGCGGUGAAAUGCGUAGAUAUUAGGAGGAACACCAGUGGCGAAGGCGGUCUGCUGGACAGCAACUGACGCUGAGGCGCGAAAGCGUGGGGAGCAAACAGGAUUAGAUACCCUCGUACA
rnacentral:rRNA from 1 species